AUGUCAGAGACAUUACCAAAUCCAGACUCAUCAACGGCCACUGACAGAUCAUUUUAUGCGACGUAAAAGCAGUGGCGUUCCAAUUGAUGACAAAUUACAACAGUUGCACCAACAGUUUUCAACUGAAAAUGAAGACCGUUCACGUCGGAGCAAGGAGAGAACCGCAACGACUGGAACGGGUGGAGCGGCAGUCGCAAGUGCAGCCGAUCGAAUGUCAAAACGUGUCGCGUCAGCAUCGUUGGCAGUCAGGCCACAGGCAAAAUCGUCGGAUUUAAUGUGCGUCUGCGAUUCGAUUGAUGGAAAUACGGUUGCCAAGAUCACAAGUCUUCCAGAAGGCAUCGAAAAGCGAGAAUGGAUUGCUCACAACGUUCUCGGACUUUUCGAGCAUGUAAACGCUUUGUGUGGAACGUUAUCAGAGGUGUGCACCCAACAAUCGUGCCCUCACAUGAGCUUUCCGGGCACGAGCAAAGCAAUUUACACAGACGAACGUGGCAAGCGGCAGGUGUAUCCAGCGGUGCAGUACAUUGAUUGUGUUAUCACACAGUGCGAGUCGAUGAGCCGACAAGAGGAGAUUUUUCCAACUAAAUAUGGCAACAAAUUCAACGGUAACUUUGAGCCGGCGGUGAAGAAAAUGCUCAGCCACUUAUUUCACUGUAUGGGCCACAUGUAUCUGAAACAUUGGGACGUGCUCGGCGCACUGCAACUUCGCCCCCAAUGUGCAAUUGUGUUUGCGCAUAUUGCAGAGUUGGGAAGGACAUUCAGCCUGCUCGAUGCCAAAGAUCAAGAGCAAGUUGACGAAUGUGUGACGGAGGUGCGCCCAAUCCUGCCCGUGCUAUCACAAACGUUAUCUCUGGACGAUCCGGACCAUCCACACGACGGUGAUCGUUCAAGCCGGGUUCCAUCGUCGAAGAGCGGUAGUUGGGGAGGAUACCCGUCACCGGCAGUGUUGUCAUGCAAAGCUUAUGCUCAGACCUGUUGA
rnacentral:misc_RNA from 1 species